UCUACGGGUGGCUGCAGUGGGGGAUAUUGCACUAUGGGGGGAACCCUGAUGCAGCGACGCCGCGCGGGUGAAGGAGCGUUUCGGCGCGUAAAGCCCUAUCGGCAGGGAAGAAGAUGACGGUACCUGACCAAGAAGCCCCGGCUAAAUACGUGCCAGCAGCCGCGGUAAUACGUGGGGGGCAAGCGUUAUCCGGAUUUACUGGGUGUAAAGGGGGCGCAGACGGCAAUGCAAGCCAGGAGUGAAAGCCCGGGGCCCAACCCCGGGACUGCUGUUGAAACUGCAUGGCUGGAGUACAGGAGGGGCAGGCGGAAUUCGUGGUGUAGCGGUGAAAUGCGUAGAUAUUAGGAGGAACGCCGGUGGCGAAGGCGGCCUGCUGGACUGUGACUGACGUUGAGGCCCGAAGGCGUGGGGAGCGAACAGGAUUAGAUACCCUUGUAGUC
rnacentral:rRNA from 1 species